rnacentral:rRNA from 1 species
AUUGAACGCUGGCGGCAGGCCUAACACAUGCAAGUCGAACGAGCGGUGGACGGGUGAGUAAUGUCUGGGGAACUGCCCGAUAGAGGGGGAUAACUACUGGAAACGGUGGCUAAUACCGCAUACUAUCGGAUGAACCCAUAUGGGAUUAGCUAGUAGGUGGGGUAAAGGCUCACCAAGCCGACGAUCCCUAGCUGGUCUGAGAGGAUGACCAGGCAAACUGGGACUGAGACACGGCCCAGACUCCUACGGGAGGCAGCAGUGGGGAAUAUUGCGCAAUGGGGGCAACGCUGAAGCAGCCAUGCCGCGUGAAUGAAGAAGGCCUUCGGGGUGUAAAGGUAUUUCGGUAGCGAGGCGUUAACUACAGAAGAAGCACCGGCUAACUCCGUGCCAGCAGCCGCGGUAAUUC